GAGACAAAUGCCUUAAUGAAUGGAUAGAAAAAUAUGGAAAUAUUUUUGGUUUCUUCCUCGGAGGGAAACCUUGUAUUGUCUGUCGUGAUUUGGAAUUAAUAAAACUUAUACAGAUAAAGGAGUUCAAAACUUUUGCUAAUAGAGAUAUGAUACUUCCAGAUGCAGGAAUUCCUCAUCAUCUUAUCUGUAAAGCGGUUUCACUUCAAUUAGAUGACAAAUGGAAAAGUUCCAGAAGUAUAUUGAGCAAAGGUUUCAGUUCCGCUAAACUUAGAAU